UGGGGGAUAUUGCACAAUGGGCGAAAGCCUGAUGCAGCGACGCCGCGUGGGGGAUGAAGGCUUUCGGGUUGUAAACCUCUUUCGCUAUCGAACAAGGCCCGCUUAGGGUGGGUUGAGGGUAGGUGGAGAAGAAGCGCCGGCUAACUACGUGCCAGCAGCCGCGGUAAUACGUAGGGCGCGAGCGUUGUCCGGAAUUAUUGGGCGUAAAGGGCUGGUAGGCGGCUUGUUGCGCCUGCUGUGAAAACGCGGGGCUUAACUUCGGGCGUGCAGUGGGUACGGGCAGGCUUGAGUGUGGUAGGGGUGACUGGAAUUCCAGGUGUAGCGGUGGAAUGCGCAGAUAUCUGGAGGAACACCGAUGGCGAAGGCGGGUCACUGGGCCAUUACUGGCGCUGAGGAGCGAAAGCAUGGGUAGCGAACAGG
rnacentral:rRNA from 1 species